AAUGAACGCUGGCGGCAGGCCUAACACAUGCAAGUCGAACGGGUGCCUUCGGGUGCUAGUGGCGGACGGGUGAGUAACGCGUGGGAACAUGCCCAAAGGUACGGAAUAGCCUCGGGAAACUGAGAGUAAUACCGUAUGUGCCCCUUGGCUGUAGUGGUCGGGGGGGAAAGAUUUAUCGCCUUUGGAUUGGCCCGCGUUGGAUUAGGUAGUUGGUGGGGUAAUGGCCUACCAAGCCGACGA
rnacentral:rRNA from 1 species